GUUUGACCCAUAGCAGUAACGAUUUAGAAGCAGGCCCUAGCAACAGCGCAUAUGACCCAGCCUGGUAAUCGCUCAUUGGUUUGUAGAGACGUUCUUUUGUCGCCGAUUGGAUAACGGAGAUGUAGUGGGCGCGGCUUUCCUCCUAGCAUUUGGUCACGGAACGCCAAGACGGAGAAGGAAGCUGUUGGUUUUUAGUGUGGUUGGUCGUCCAAGGGUGUAGUGUUUGUCUGCCUUCUCCGUCUUUACCACGUAUAUAAAGCGCCCCCCUCUGUGUGUAUUUAUACUAAGAACACUUGAACCGUGCUCGUAUUUACUAAUACGCCGUAAGUCAAAACUGAAACAUUGAAAGUAACAUUCUUGCCUGUGUUUGUUCCUAAUGCAGCAUUGUGGAUAAAAGAUACCACAGCAAGCCCUGCGUGAGUUAUAUAGGAUGUUUUAAUAUAUUCCACAUACCGAAAAUUAUGUGUCUCCUAGAUAUAUUAUUCACAACAAUCAAGCUUUAGGGAAACUAUCUUUACGCCUCCCUCAACUUGCUUUGUGGAGUAAGUUGACUGCGAAGGAGCUUGGGGUCUUGCUCAAGGAGCCGCAGAUGUGCUGAGGCUGAGUUCGAACCUGCGACCUUCUGAUUACAAGGACACAGGCUUAGCCCACUGAGCCUCACGCUCAAAACAGAACUGCUGUACAGUACACAAUACUGUCUACAGUAUUUGAAAUGAGUACAUGUAUGUGUCUUCUGGUUCAUCAUGGUCCAGGGGAAUGACUUCUUGUAUUAUUCUAUACUUAUGUAUGGCUGGCAUGACAAUAAAAUGCCACUUGAUUUGACUUGA